rfam:Camelus ferus isolate Naran unplaced genomic scaffold scaffold45447, whole genome shotgun sequence.
GUGGGUGUAGCUCAGUGGUAGGGUGCGCACUGAGCACGCAUGAGGUCCUGGGUUCAAUCCCCAGUGCCUCCA